AACGAACGCUGGCGGCAGGCUAAACACAUGCAAGUCGAGCGCCCCGCAAGGGGAGCGGCAGACGGGUGAGUAACGCGUGGGAAUCUACCCAUCUCUACGGAAUAACGCAUGGAAACGUGUGCUAAUACCGUAUACGUCCUUCGGGAGAAAGAUUUAUCGGAGAUGGAUGAGCCCGCGUUGGAUUAGCUAGUUGGUGGGGUAAAGGCCUACCAAGGCGACGAUCCAUAGCUGGUCUGAGAGGAUGAUCAGCCACACUGGGACUGAGACACGGCCCAGACUCCUACGGGAGGCAGCAGUGGGGAAUAUUGGACAAUGGGCGCAAGCCUGAUCCAGCCAUGUCGCGUGAGUGAUGAAGGCCCUAGGGUUGUAAAGCUCUUUCACCGGUGAAGAUAAUGACGGUAACCGGAGAAGAAGCCCCGGCUAACUUCGUGCCAGCAGCCGCAGUAAAAC
rnacentral:rRNA from 1 species